rnacentral:rRNA from 1 species
CUACGGGGUGCUCCAGUAGGGAAUAUUGCACAAUGGGCGAAAGCCUGAUGCAGCAACGCCGCGUGAGUGAUGAAGGCCCUCGGGUCGUAAAACUCUUUUCAAGAGGAAGAGGAAGGACGGUACUCUUGGAAUAAGCCUCGGCUAACUACGUGCCAGCAGCCGCGGUAACACGUAGGAGGCGAGCGUUAUUCGGAUUUACUGGGCGUAAAGCGCGUGUAGGCGGCUCUAUAAGUUGGAUGUGAAAGCUCCCGGCUUAACUGGGAGAGGACGUUCAAAACUAUAGAGCUUGAGUACGAGAGAGGAAAAUGGAAUUCCGGGUGUAGUGGUGAAAUGCGUAGAUAUCCGGAGGAACACCAGUGGCGAAGGCGAUUUUCUGGCUCGAGACUGACGCUCAGACGCGAAAGCUAGGGUAGCAAACGGGAUUAGAUACCCUUGUAGUC